GAUGAAGAACGCAGUGAAAUGCGAUAAGUAAUGUGAAUUGCAGAAUUCAGUGAAUCAUCGAAUCUUUGAACGCACAUUGCGCCCGCCAGUAUUCUGGCGGGCAUGCCUGUUCGAGCGUCAUUUCAACCAUCAAGCCCCCCGGCUUGUGUUGGGGACCUGCGGCUGCCGCAGGCCCUGAAAAGCAGUGGCGGGCUCGCUGUCACACCGAGCGUAGUAGCAUACAUCUCGCUCUGGGCGUGCUGCGGGUUCCGGCCGUUAAACCACCUUCAUAACCCAAGGUUGACCUCGGAUCAGGUAGGAAGACCCGCUGAACUUAAGCAUAUCAAAAGCGGAGGA
rnacentral:misc_RNA from 1 species